UACGUAGGUGGCAAGCGUUGUCCGGAUUUACUGGGCGUAAAGAGCGCGCAGGCGGUCGUUCAAGUCGCGUGUGAAAGCCCCCGGCUCAACUGGGGAGGGUCACGCGAUACUGAUCGACUCGAAGGCAGGAGAGGGAAGUGGAAUUCCCGGUGUAGUGGUGAAAUGCGUAGAUAUCUGGAGGAAUACCGGUGGCGAAGGCGGCAUCCUGGACAAUUACGGACGCUGAGGCGCGAAAGCUAGGGGAGCAAACGGG
rnacentral:rRNA from 1 species